GUAGCUCAGUUGGAUAGAGUGUAGGUCUCCGAAGCCUAAGAUCAUGGGUUCGAAUCCCAUC
rnacentral:tRNA from 1 species